GAUGAACGCUAGCGGCAGGCUUAACACAUGCAAGUCGAGGGGUAGAGGUUGCUUGCAACCUUGAGACCGGCGCACGGGUGCGUAACGCGUAUGCAACCUACCUUUUACAGAGGGAUAGCCCAGAGAAAUUUGGAUUAAUACCUCAUAGUAUAUAACCUUCGCAUGUUGGUUAUAUUAAAGUUCCAACGGUAAAAGAUGGGCAUGCGUCCUAUUAGCUAGAUGGUAAGGUAACGGCUUACCAUGGCAACGAUAGGUAGGGGUCCUGAGAGGGAGAUCCCCCACACUGGUACUGAGACACGGACCAGACUCCUACGGGAGGCAGCAGUGAGGAAUAUUGGACAAUGGGCGCAAGCCUGAUCCAGCCAUGCCACGUGCAGGAAGAAGCAUCUAUGGUGUGUAAACUGCUUUUGUACAGGAAGAAACACCCCGACGUGUCGGGACUUGACGGUACUGUAAGAAUAAGGAUCGGCUAACUACGUGCCAGCAGCCGCCGUAAAAC
rnacentral:rRNA from 1 species